CCGGGUUGCGGACAGUGUCUGGUGGGUAGUUUGACUGGGGCGGUCUCCUCCUAAAGAGUAACGGAGGAGCACGAAGGUUGGCUAAUCCUGGUCGGACAUCAGGAGGUUAGUGCAAUGGCAUAAGCCAGCUUGACUGCGAGCGUGACGGCGCGAGCAGGUGCGAAAGCAGGUCAUAGUGAUCCGGUGGUUCUGAAUGGAAGGGCCAUCGCUCAACGGAUAAAAGGUACUCCGGGGAUAACAGGCUGAUACCGCCCAAGAGUUCAUAUCGACGGCGGUGUUUGGCACCUCGAUGUCGGCUCAUCACAUCCUGGGGCUGAAGUAGGUCCCAAGGGUAUGGCUGUUCGCCAUUUAAAGUGGUACGCGAGCUGGGUUUAGAACGUCGUGAGACAGUUCGGUCCCUAUCUGCCGUGGGCGCUGGAGAACUGAGGGGGGCUGCUCCUAGUACGAGAGGACCGGAGUGGACGCAUCACUGGUGUUCGGGUUGUCAUGCCAAUGGCACUGCCCGGUAGCUAAAUGCGGAAGAGAUAAGUGCUGAAAGCAUCUAAGCACGAAACUUGCCCCGAGAUGAGUUCUCCCUGAGACUUAGAGUCUCCUGAAGGAACGUUGAAGACGACGACGUUGAUAGGCCGGGUGUGUAAGCGCAGCGAUGCGUUGAGCUAACCGGUACUAAUGAACCGUGAGGCUUAACCUUACA
rnacentral:rRNA from 2 species